rnacentral:rRNA from 1 species
UGGGGAAUAUUGCGCAAUGGACGAAAGUCUGACGCAGCGACGCCGCGUGAGGGAUGAAGGUCUUCGGAUCGUAAACCUCUGUCAGAGGGGAAGAAACUACGGGGUGCUAAUCAGCUCCGUACUGACGGUACCCUCAAAGGAAGCACCGGCUAACUCCGUGCCAGCAGCCGCGGUAAUACGUAGGGGGCAAGCGUUGUCCGGAAUGAUUGGGCGUAAAGGGCGCGUAGGCGGCCUGGUAAGUUUGGAGUGAAAGUCCUAUUUUUAAGGUGGGAAUUGCUUUGAAAACUGCUGGGCUUGAGUGCAGGAGAGGUUAGUGGAAUUCCCGGUGUAGCGGUGAAAUGCGUAGAGAUCGGGAGGAACACCAGUGGCGAAGGCGACUAACUGGACUGUAACUGACGCUGAGGCGCGAAAGUGUGGGGAGCAAACA